CGGACGGGUGAGUAAUGUCUGGGAAACUGCCUGAUGGAGGGGGAUAACUACUGGAAACGGUAGCUAAUACCGCAUAACGUCGCAAGACCAAAGAGGGGGACCUUAGGGCCUCUUGCCAUCGGAUGUGCCCAGAUAGGAUUAGCUAGUAGGUGGGGUAACGGCUCACCUAGGCGACGAUCCCUAGCUGGUCUGAGAGGAUGACCAGCCACACUGGAACUGAGACACGGUCCAG
rnacentral:rRNA from 1 species